UACGUAGGGUGCAAGCGUUGUCCGGAAUUAUUGGGCGUAAAGAGCUCGUAGGCGGUCUGUCGCGUUUGCUGUGAAAACUCGGGGCUUAACCCCGGGCCUGCAGUGGGUACGGGCAGACUAGAAUUCGGUAGGGGAGACUGGAAUUCCUGGUGUAGCGGUGAAUUGCGCAGAUAUCAGGAGGAACACCGGUGGCGAAGGCGGGUCUCUGGGCCGAUAUUGACGCUGAGGAGCGAAAGCGUGGGGAGCGAACAGG
rnacentral:rRNA from 1 species